rnacentral:lncRNA from 1 species
AGAAAAGAGAAGCCGCCUGAGUCAGAGGAAAGAGCAUGAACAAUGGGAUAACCAGGAGGCUGGCCUUCCCCAGAGCUGCAGCUUCGGUGACAGCCUGCUGCUGCCGCUGCGGCUGCGCUCUUUGCCCUUCAGGCUCUCGGCACCAUUGUGAUGCUGUAAUGAAGUAGAGCUGCCCUGUCAGAGCUCAUCAGCAGUCCCGUGAAGGCGGAAUGAAAUCACUUCUGUUGACCCCCCGGCAUAUUUAUAGGCUCGCUCUUUCUGCAGAGGCUGGUGGUUAUCACUUUCCCGUCCCGUGUUGUGUUUAUUCAGCAGCACGCUAAAUCACGCCCGUGUGCAAGUGGAGCAUUCAUCAGGAACACUGAACCCCUCUUUCAGGCUGCCAAACCCAUCCAAUUACUGGGGCUGGAAGGGCCUGCAAAAAAACUCUUCUACCAGGAUGAGGUUUUGAUGAGCAAUAAGACUUGGAAACCAUCCUCAAGCAUCCUCAAGCAAGCCUCGAGAAAUUCCAAGGAACAAAGUUCAGCCAAUAUUUAGAGAAUGGCAUCUGUAAUAACACAGAAGUUUUCCAAGUUGACCCAUGGGCCCCAGGAAAACGUGAAAGAAGGGGAUCAUCGACAAAUUUUAGGGAAUCUGUGACCCCCCCAAAAAAAUUAUGCAAAAAUGAUAGAUCUCAAUGACACUUUUUGGAGACAAUUUCCAUAGCUUUCAUCAGAUUUGAGACGAGACCCAAAAGAUAACUGAAAGCCCCUGCAUUUAAACCAAAAGGCUACUGAUCUUAGAUUUCAAAUAAAAUCUAAUCAAGUAUUUUCUAACUUUUCUUCUUUGCUGCGACUUAACCCCUGAUCUUUACGGGCUUGCCAACAUUUUACGUUAGAUCACAAUUAUUAUAUUUGUUCAAACUGUUUUACUUAACUUUCACUUAAAAUGUAGCUAUGCAAAGUAUUAUCAAACCCUUUCUUAAAAUUCAGGUUUAUUUAUACUAUUUUGAAUUUAAUAGUUACUUUCAUUUAGAAUUCUUAUUACUGCCCUUUCUACUUCAAAUUUUUUAGAGAAGCAUCCAUGGAGACACAGAGGCAUAGUAGGAAGAACGGGGUCUUUGGCAUCAAACAGGCAUGGGUCUGUAUCCCAGCUUCUCCCAGAGAGGAGGGAAGAAACCUGCCCCAAAGGAUGGCUCUGAGGAACGUGGAGGUGCCAUGACCUGAAAAGUGCAUGGCCUUGGGACACAGUGGAAAUGCGAAGGUCUCAGUUUUGCCCUCUGUGAAACGGGGAGAAGAAGACCCACUCUUCUAAGGCCGCUGAUGCGGUGAAAUACAAUAAUGUCUAGAAAGUGCCUGGGACAAUGCCUGCACAAGGGACUCACCCAGGAAACGGUGCUGAUGGGAACAGUCAGAACUGACUGAGUGGCUUCUCCAGGAUGGACACUUUGUCAACUUUCUCAGUCAUCCUGAAGGGAGCAUCAAGGAGCUUCCAACUAAUGGCAGGUCCAACAUUCAGCCUUCAGAAUUCAAACGUUAAAA